UUUCAAAGGUUUCUUUACACCAAAGUCGCUUAUUUCGUACCCUCCUAAGCCUUGUCUCCAUGCUUUGUUUUCCACCUUCAUCAGAGUUUCUUCACUGUGCCGUUUUCUUCUUCACCUUCACCUCUCAAGUUCUUCAUCUUUGGCUUUCGCGUCUCAACUUCUCCAUCUUCAGCCUUCCCGUCUUGACUUCUUCAUUUUUAUACACUUCGUCACUUCGCAAUCCCUGAUUUUCUUGUAUUUUUUUUUUUCAAAUCUCUAAUUCCGAAAACCCAGAACCCAAGCAUAAGGAGCUCACCGAUCACGAAUGACUUUUUGAGGAGCUCUCCGAUGGUGUUGUUUUUGAGGAGAUUGUGAUUCUCACAGCCUUCGUGUCUUGUCAUUUCCAUCUCCCAACCUUCGUGUCUCACCAUUUCCAUCUUGCGAUGUGCGCGCCCUGCUGCUGCCAGCUAUGUCUGUGCAACCGUCGACCGUAUCCUCCCGUCACAGCCAAAGGCCGAACUCGGUAGUGUAGUGCGAUUCUCGCAAAUCUGUUUGGCCGGUAGAAGCGGAGGCACCACAUGAAGGCCAGGAAGUUCCACGUUGGAUUGAUGAAAAAGAGGAUGUCGAAGAUUCAAAGAACGGCAUCGCCGCUGCAGGAGAAAGCGUGCUCUCUCGGACGAUAAAUCCCCGGUUGCCAGAAGGUAUCGUUCCCGAAGCUUCUAGAAGAAGCCGGUGACUAUAUAAACAGUCUACCUAGUUGGACAAAGCUGAUUCUUGUUGUUGUUGAAACUUUACAUGACUUAGCCAUUUUAUUGUAUGUCAGUUUUUCUUUGUUUAUUCGUCUUAGUAUUUUUAACAGUGCUUAUAUGAAUAUUUUUUUAUGCUUAGAGAUGAUCAUCCCGUGAGUUUUUACCUAGCUCCCUCUCUUUAACCUCCCCUCCUAUAAAGGUAGAUAAUUACAUGGGUCAAAAGAAUGACUUUUCAGAAUUGUGUAUAGUGAACAAACACGACAUUUUUUUAACUUUGCAAAUACCUUCACUAGCAUCACAAUUUUUCUGUCAAUUGAGAUAUCUCUUGGAUGUCCAUUUUCUUUUCACUUGCAUGUGUUAUGUAUUAAUGCCUUCCUUCUAUAUAUCAUAAUUCUGAGAUGCACAAACUGCAAAGGAUGAACAAAGGGAGCAACUUGCGAAGGAAAUUUCAAAGGAUUGGAGUUCUGAUGCAUGUCUGCAGAACCUGAUCUUCGUCUGGCUUGAAUCUAAUGUUGAGGCAUACUCUGUCCAUCUGGAUCUCGGGGAGAGGGAUACAAAAGGAAUCUGAUGAAGCAAAAUUGAUAUUUACUGCUGCCGAGAGAAAGGUUCUUGAAGUUAGAGAGCAACUCAAAAGAAUUGCAUAGAGGAUAGGAUUAGUCUUAAAAUCUUGUGAGAGUGAUAUGCAGGCUUAUACAAUUAUGAGAUUAUGUUCGUCGUGCUUGUCACAUUAUCGUUGUGAAGCUUUCCUAGUUCUUCAACAAAGAUAGAUUUACACGGGAAGAUCCUCCAUUACAUUGAAGAGCCUCGGUGAUCCAGGAAGUCAUUGAUUUAAAAGUCAUUUUCGCUUAAGCGAGAAUAAUUUAGCUUAAGCGAGAAUUCGGGCAGUAUAUAUACUCACGAGGCAGAAAGAAAAAGGGUCUUUGGUUCUUUGGAGGCACGAUUUCACGUCAGGAGCUCAUGGAGGGCGCGAGGAGCUUGUGGGAACAUCUCCUCCUCUUCCUUUGGGUCUCCUUCUUCUUCCAUCUUCCAUGUUUGUAAGCUUUAGGGUUCUCCAUGGAAAUGGAGAACCAGAUUCAUCUUGUUAAGGUUAGAUGUAGCCUAUGAACUCUUGUGUAAUGAAUGAUUGUUUCGUAUUUAUAAAUGUCUUUUCUAUC